rnacentral:rRNA from 1 species
GGGGAAUAUUGCGCAAUGGGGGAAACCCUGACGCAGCAACGCCGCGUGAGUGAAGAAGGUUUUCGGAUCGUAAAACUCUGUCUUUGGGGAAGAAUACAUGACGGUACCCAAGGAGGAAGCCCCGGCUAACUACGUGCCAGCAGCCGCGGUAAUACGUAGGGGGCAAGCGUUGUCCGGAAUUAUUGGGCGUAAAGGGCGUGUAGGCGGUAUCGUAAGUCAGGUGUGAAAGUUUGAGGCUUAACCUCAAAAUUGCACUUGAAACUGCAAUACUUGAGUACUGGAGAGGUAAGUGGAAUUCCUAGUGUAGCGGUGAAAUGCGUAGAUAUUAGGAGGAACACCAGUGGCGAAGGCGACUUACUGGACAGUUACUGACGCUGAGGCGCGAAAGCGUGGGGAGCAAAC